rnacentral:rRNA from 1 species
UACGGAGGGGGCUAGCGUUGUUCGGAAUUACUGGGCGUAAAGCGCGCGUAGGCGGGCCUGCAAGUCGGGGGUGAAAGCCCGAGGCUCAACCUCGGAACUGCCUUCGAUACUGCGGGUCUCGAGUCCGGGAGAGGUGAGUGGAAUUCCUAGUGUAGAGGUGAAAUUCGUAGAUAUUAGGAAGAACGCCAGUGGCGAAGGCGGCUCACUGGCCCGGUACUGACGCUGAGGCGCGAAAGCGUGGGGAGCAAACAGG